UUCCCAGGAUGCAUUGCUUCAUGUGGAACUGAGCCACGUUAAUCAGGAAUCUCACAGGUCAGAGUAACAGCUGUAUUUGCGAUGCUUUACUAGGCCGCUGCCUUCUGAAAUGGGGAAGGCUCAUCUCGGCCAGGUUCCCACAACUCAGCACUAUACCUUGACUCUAGCUAGAUAAGAUCUGUGUGAGUUGAGCCUUAGUAGAAGACAGGAUUGGGCUCAGACGCCCACACAUCCUCCCCAUUUAGAGGGCCUGUCGGCCUGCAGUGUCUGAAUCUCUCAUACGUAGCACAGAUACUGGAGGAGAGAUGAUUCCAUUGAACCCUGGACAAGCCCACAGCACUACCGAGGGGUGAGGAGGGAGGUGAAUAAGAGAAUAAAACACAUGAACUCAAUGAAACUAAUAUACUCAUGGUGAACUGCUCUGUGUUUGUGAGUUGGACAGUCAGCACCUCUUCCCCAGGGCACCACUGCUCAAUACAAGAGGACAUGGCUUUAAGUUUCCAGGGUGGGAGAUGUGAUAACUGGCAGAUGGCGGAUGGCACUUUACUUCAGGAUAAUUUGCAAGGGGCAACCCUGCCAAUUGCUUCUCUCAGAAAUGGAACAGAACAAACAAAAACAGAUAAGUUCCAUAUCAUCAUCCUCCUGAAAGAAAACAUAGACAUUAUUCAA